GAUCUCAGACCAGGUGGAAUGGGGAGCCCUGAAGACCUGCCAAGGGUGGAGGCCCUUUACCUCGGAUCGUUGUGAAGUGUUGUCGCCCCAUAGCCGCGAACACCGAACACCGUUGGCCUACUACAGAUGGAGGUCUCACCGAGAUCGAGAAACAAGAGAAACUGCUAAAGAAUUACACUUGAAUGCUGGCCAGCAAGUAAGAGUCCUCGUUGACUCCUGAGCAGGUUCUUUAUGCAGACCUCAAUGGCUUCUGGCUGCACAUUUGGGGAUCUUCAGACCACUUUGGGACUGGCUGGCUUGUGGGUGACAACGGAGAAGGUACAAACUGCUCAUGCUCCUACAGGAGUUUUUUUUGGCAAGAGAUUCCCAUUCUUUGGGUUCAUUCUCAAGCCUCCCUUUCUAAAUCUGUGGUGUCCUACCCCCAAGCUAUAGUUGAACUCCUGUUUAAAGCACAAAAAAUUGCCUUACAAACCUUUGGUAAGCAGCCAGGUCAGGUUGUUACUCCUUUGUCCUGCCAACAAAUAGAGUGGCUGCAAAAUAAUACUUGUGACCGGGCCAUUUUCCUCUCUGUUACUCAGAGUUGUGUUGAUAAUCAUUACCCAUCCAAUAAUUUGGUUUCCUUUUUUAAAAUGCAUCCUUUGAUUUUCCUAAAAAUUGUAGUCUCUCAGCCUAUUCCUAAGGGGCAAAUGGUUUUCACAGAUGGUUCUUCUAAAGGUACAGCUGGAGUCAUGACUUAUCCGAUCAUUAAGACAGCCAAAAAUCCUACAACUUCUGCCCAAAUGGCCGAACUUUCAACUCUGGCCCUUGCUCUACAACUCUUCCCCACGGAAGCAGUCCAACCCUUGGAGAUUGCUGCCUAUGUUGCGCCCAUCUCUAGGAUACAAGAGAGUUUAUUACAGGUACAAGGUCUGCUAUGGCAACGGAGCGAACCUGUAUUUGUGGGACAUCUUAGGGCCCACACCCCUUUGCCAGGGCCCCUCAGCGAAGGAAAUCGCACGGCUGACAGGUAUGCUCAAAUUGGUGUGGUUUUACAAGGGCUCACUAAAGCACAAUCCCUACAUAAACACUUUCAUCUUAGCCCAGGGUCCUUAACACUUUCAUACUGGGAUUACCUAAGAACAGGCUGUUCAAAUAGUUAAGGAUUGCCCUCUUUGUAUAGAAUUUCUUCCUGUGCCUCACUUGAGAGUUAAUCCUCGAGGACUUUUGCCUAACCACAUUUGGCAAAUAGAUGUAACGCAUGUGCCAUCCUUUGGUAAAUUACAAUUUGUCCAUGUUUCUGUAGAUACUUUUUCCCACCUGAUAUUCGUCUCUGCCCACUCUGGUGAAAAAGUGAAAGAUGUUAAGAGCCACUGUUUACAGGCUUUUGCUUACCUGGGGGACCCAAAACAAAUUAAGACUGAAAUGGCCCCGCCUAUGUCAGCAGAGGUUUCAAUCACUUCUGUCUAGAUUUUCAUGUUUCCCCCAAAACUGGAAUUCCUUACAACCCCUGAGGGCAGGCUAUUGUGAAACAUGCUCAUUGCACUCUAAAAGCCUAUUUAGCUAAAGAAGGGGGAUCUUGAGGGCCACCUCUGCUCCCCUCACUCUACUCUAUUAUUUAUCCUCUCUAUCUUAAAAUUUUUAAUUGUGGAUGCUUCUGACAACUCUGCAGCAGAUCGUCAUUGGCAGUCUGCUGUACAGCAAAAACCUCUAGUUAAAUGGGAAGACCUAACCUUGGUCUUUGGAAAGGACCAGAUCCAGUUUUGGUGUGGGCCCAGGUGUCUGUUUGUGUAUUCCCACAGGAUGGUGAGUACUCAAUUUGGGUUCCAGAGCGUUGAGUGCACUCUGUUCCUGCUGAUACUCAUCAGCCACCAAUAGACUCAUUAGGCUUUAAUGAGGAACCCACCUGUCCUGAUGCUGGCGGGUCUUCAGUGUCAGGAGUAUCCAGCUUUAAUCAGCCUCAACCGUAACCUAGGAAAGGCAGCCCUCAGGAUGGAUUUGUCGGCUUGGACAUUUGCUAUAUUCAAUAACACUCCCUCGGGACAAAUGCUUAAUUAUUUCCUCCAGGAAUGCCGCUUGAGAAGCUGUUGGGAUGGUGAAAUAUCAGCCUUGGUGGUCCGUGUUCCAGGUGUCAUGCCUAUUCCAGUGGAACACUCAGGAGAGAACCAGCUCAUCCUCACAGGACACGGGAGUGACUUUGACAUCACAGUGGCUGCAGUUUUUGGCUUCCCUAUCUGUUAGCCUGUUGCCACGGCAGGCAUGCAGGAUAAACCCCCAGGGGAGGAUGCCUCUACAUUAAGUUCCCAAAUUUAUACUAAUUACAAUUGCGCACUUUAAAUCUUAAUUAACAAAUGGACUUAAUCGGCUAUUCUAACUGAGAUCAGGGUGCCUCCCUUUUGGGAGACCCCCAUCUUAACAGGACUGCAGCAGACAGGUCUAUUACUUAAGAUACGAGUGGGUUGCUAGCCCUCGGGAUUAUGACCCUGGGCAACUCAGUCUUUAGCCCUAGUUUGCCAUAUGGAAAGACCACAAGCCCAGAGCCAUUUUCUUACAAAGCAGAUCAUGCUUUCCUUGUCAACAGACAACCCCUCAGUGCAGGCCUGGUUUAGCCAGCAAGACAAAUGAGUUAUCAGUGACGGGUACGUUCCGGGGGACAGCUACCAACCUAAGACAGAGGGUUUGUGAGGCCUGGACAGACUUCUCGAUGAUGGGUAAAACAGAUGUUAACGUCCUGGGCAAGCCGGGCAUUGGUGGUACACACCUUUAAUCCCAGCACUCGGGAGGCAGAGGCAGGCGGAUCUCUGUGAGUUCGAGGCCAGCCUGGUCUACAAAGUGAGUUCCAGCCACAG